rnacentral:rRNA from 1 species
AGGACGACGCUGGCGGCGUGCUUAAUACAUGCAAGUCGAGCGAGGUUACUGUUUGGAUCCCUUCGGGGUGAAGAAGCUUUAACCUAGCGGCGGACGGGUGAGUAACGCGUGGGUAACCUACCCCAAAGUCCGGGAUAACAGCGGGAAACCGCUGCUAAUACCGGAUGUCUUUACCUUGGGGCAUCUUGAGGUAAAGAAGGGUAACGCUUUGGGAUGGGCCCGCGUCCCAUUAGCUAGUUGGUGAGGUAACGGCUCACCAAGGCGACGAUGGGUAGCCGGCCUGAGAGGGUGGACGGCCACACUGGGACUGAGACACGGCCCAGACUCCUACGGGAGGCAGCAGUAGGGAAUAUUGCGCAAUGGACGGAAGUCUGACGCAGCGACGCCGCGUGAGCGAUGAAGGUCUUCGGAUCGUAAAGCUCUGUCCUUGGGGAAGAAGGUCUUCGGACUUGACGGUACCCAAGAAGAAAGCCCCGGCUAACUACGUG